rnacentral:tRNA from 1 species
UCCUGGGUGGUGCAGAUGGCUAAUGUGAUCAGCUGUUAACUGAAAAGUUGGAGGUUCAACUCCUCCCAGAGGUA